rnacentral:rRNA from 1 species
UACGUAGGGUGCAAGCGUUUGUCCGGAAUUAUUGGGCGUAAAGAGCUCGUAGGCGGUCUGUCGCGUCGGCUGUGAAAACCCGAGGCUCAACCUCGGGCCUGCAGUCGAUACGGGCAAACUAGAGUACUGCAGGGGAGACUGGAAUUCCUGGUGUAGCGGUGAAAUGCGCAGAUAUCAGGAGGAACACCGGUGGCGAAGGCGGGGUCUCUGGGCAGUAACUGACGCUGAGGAGCGAAAGCGUGGGGGAGCGAACAGG